rnacentral:rRNA from 1 species
UCCAAUCGAACCUGGAGAUAGCUGGUUCUCUCCGAAAUAGCUUUAGGGCUAGCCUCAAGUGAUGAUUAUUGGAGGUAGAGCACUGUUUGGACGAGGGGCCCCUCUCGGGUUACCGAAUUCAGACAAACUCCGAAUGCCAAUUAAUUUAACUUGGGAGUCAGAACAUGGGUGAUAAGGUCCGUGUUCGAAAGGGAAACAGCCCAGACCACCAGCUAAGGUCCCAAAAUAUAUGUUAAGUGGAAAAGGAUGUGGCGUUGCCCAGACAACUAGGAUGUUGGCUUAGAAGCAGCCAUCAUUUAAAGAGUGCGUAAUAGCUCACUAGUCGAGUGACACUGCGCCGAAAAUGUACCGGGGCUAAACAUAUUACCGAAGCUGUGGAUUGUCCUUUGGACAAUGGUAGGAGAGCGUUCUAAGGGCGUUGAAGCAUGAUCGUAAGGACAUGUGGAGCGCUUAGAAGUGAGAAUGCCGGUGUGAGUAGCGAAAGACGGGUGAGAAUCCCGUCCACCGAUUGACUAAGGUUUCCAGAGGAAGGCUCGUCCGCUCUGGGUUAGUCGGGUCCUAAGCUGAGGCCGACAGGCGUAGGCGAUGGAUAACAGGUUGAUAUUCCUGUACCACCUAUAAUCGUUUUAAUCGAUGGGGGGACGCAGUAGGAUAGGCGAAGCGUGCGAUUGGAUUGCACGUCUAAGCAGUAAGGCUGAGUAUUAGGCAAAUCCGGUACUCGUUAAGGCUGAGCUGUGAUGGGGAGAAGACAUUGUGUCUUCGAGUCGUUGAUUUCACACUGCCGAGAAAAGCCUCUAGAUAGAAAAUAGGUGCCCGUACCGCAAACCGACACAGGUAGUCAAGAUGAGAAUUCUAAGGUGAGCGAGCGAACUCUCGUUAAGGAACUCGGCAAAAUGACCCCGUAACUUCGGGAGAAGGGGUGCUCUUUAGGGUUAACGCCCAGAAGAGCCGCAGUGAAUAGGCCCAAGCGACUGUUUAUCAAAAACACAGGUCUCUGCUAAACCGUAAGGUGAUGUAUAGGGGCUGACGCCUGCCCGGUGCUGGAAGGUUAAGAGGAGUGGUUAGCUUCUGCGAAGCUACGAAUCGAAGCCCCAGUAAACGGCGGCCGUAACUAUAACGGUCCUAAGGUAGCGAAAUUCCUUGUCGGGUAAGUUCCGACCCGCACGAAAGGCGUAACGAUUUGGGCACUGUCUCAACGAGAGACUCGGUGAAAUCAUAGUACCUGUGAAGAUGCAGGUUACCCGCGACAGGACGGAAAGACCCCGUGGAGCUUUACUGUAGCCUGAUAUUGAAAUUCGGCACAGCUUGUACAGGAUAGGUAGGAGCCUUUGAAACGUGAGCGCUAGCUUACGUGGAGGCGCUGGUGGGAUACUACCCUAGCUGUGUUGGCUUUCUAACCCGCACCACUUAUCGUGGUGGGAGACAGUGUCAGGCGGGCAGUUUGACUGGGGCGGUCGCCUCCUAAAAGGUAACGGAGGCGCUCAAAGGUUCCCUCAGAAUGGUUGGAAAUCAUUCAUAGAGUGUAAAGGCAUAAGGGAGCUUGACUGCGAGACCUACAAGUCGAGCAGGGUCGAAAGACGGACUUAGUGAUCCGGUGGUUCCGCAUGGAAGGGCCAUCGCUCAACGGAUAAAAGCUACCCCGGGGAUAACAGGCUUAUCUCCCCCAAGAGUUCACAUCGACGGGGAGGUUUGGCACCUCGAUGUCGGCUCAUCGCAUCCUGGGGCUGUAGUCGGUCCCAAGGGUUGGGCUGUUCGCCCAUUAAAGCGGUACGCGAGCUGGGUUCAGAACGUCGUGAGACAGUUCGGUCCCUAUCCGUCGUGGGCGUAGGAAAUUUGAGAGGAGCUGUCCUUAGUACGAGAGGACCGGGAUGGACAUACCUCUGGUGUACCAGUUGUCGUGCCAACGGCAUAGCUGGGUAGCUAUGUGUGGACGGGAUAAGUGCUGAAAGCAUCUAAGCAUGAAGCCCCCCUCAAGAUGAGAUUUCCCAACUUCGGUUAUAAGAUCCCUCAAAGAUGAUGAGGUUAAUAGGUUCGAGGUGGAAGCAUGGUGACAUGUGGAGCUGACGAAUACUAAUCGAUCGAAGACUUAAUCAA